AGCAGCCGCGGUAAUUCCAGCUCCAAUGGCGUAUAUUAAAGUUGUUGCAGUUAAAAAGCUCGUAGUUGAAUUUCGGGAUCAAUAUGUUGGUCGUGCCUCGGUACGUACUAGCUUAUUGGUUUCUCCCUUCUGAAGAACCAUGAUGUCAUUUAUUUGGUGUCGUGGGGAAUCAGGACUGUUACUUUGAAAAAUUAGAGUGUUUAAAGCAGGCUCACGCUUGAAUACAUUAGCAUGGAAUAAUGAAAUAGGACGUUUGAUUCUAUUUUGUUGGUUUCUAGGAUCGACGUAAUGAUUAAUAGGGAUAGUUGGGGGCAUUAGUAUUCAAUUGUCAGAGGUGAAAUUCUUGGAUUUAUUGAAGACUAACUACUGCGAAAGCAUUUGCCAAGGAUGUUUUUCAUUAAUCAAGAACGAAAGUUAGGGGGAUCGAAGACGAUCAGAUACCGUCGUAGUCUUAACCAUAAACUAUGCCGACUAGGGAUCGGAUGAUGUUAAUUUUUAAUGACUCAUUCGGCGCCUUAAC
rnacentral:misc_RNA from 1 species